rnacentral:rRNA from 1 species
GAUGAACGCUGGCGGCGUGCUUAACACAUGCAAGUCGAACGGAAAGGCUCCUGCUUGCAGGGGUACUCGAGUGGCGAACGGGUGAGUAACACGUGGGUGAUCUGCCCUGCACUUCGGGAUAAGCCUGGGAAACUGGGUCUAAUACCGGAUAGGACGAUGGUUUGGAUGCCAUUGUGGAAAGUUUUUCGGUGUGGGAUGAGCUCGCGGCCUAUCAGCUUGUUGGUGGGGUAAUGGCCUACCAAGGCGUCGACGGGUAGCCGGCCUGAGAGGGUGUACGGCCACAUUGGGACUGAGGUAAGGCCCAGACUCCUACGGGAGGCAGCAGUGGGGAAUAUUGCACAAUGGGCGCAAGCCUGAUGAAGCGGCGCCGCGUGGGGGAUGACGGCCUUAGGGUUGUAAACUCCUUUCGCUAGGGACGAAGCGCAAGUGACGGUACCUGGAGAAGAAGCACCGGCUAACUACGUG